GUCUUCUUGGCUCAGUUGGUUAGAGCGCAGGUCUCAUAGAAAUAUGAGGUAGCAUUGGCUACUAAAUAAUCCUGAGGUCGAGAGUUCGAGUCUCUCAGAGGACA